rnacentral:antisense_RNA from 1 species
GCAAGGCGUGGGGCGCUAUGGGGCUGCGCAGUGCCUUAACGAUUCCCGUUUCACGGAUGAGACGACUCCGGCACAGAGAAGUCAGAGGGCCUGUCCUGGGUCACACAGCCACAGGCGGCCCCAGAACGGGACUUCAGGGUACACCACUGCACCCCAGCAGAGGCCUCUGCCUGGCACACAGGGAAUGCUGGAGCAAUACUUGAAUAAGGGAGGUCAGAAAUCUCACGGGCUCUGCUGGCUUCUGUGCUUCGUCUCUCAAGGCCAAAAUCAAGAUGUCAUCAGUGCUGAGCUCUGGUGGAGGAUCCACAUCCAGGCUCACUGGAGCUGCUGGCAGAAUUCAGCUGUGUGGGGUUGUAGGCAUGAAGUCCUUGUUUCCUUGCUGGCUGUUGUCCAGGGGUUGCCCUCAGCUUCUGGAGGCCGCCUGCCCUCCCUGGCUCAUGGCCCAUCUCAUCCUGACAGCCAGCACCCGCGGAAAGAGUCCCUCUUGCGCUGUGACUCUCUCCCACCUCUUCCAUUCUCUAUGGCUUGUCUGCCUCCCUCUUUCAUCUUUAAGAGUGCAUGUGAAUAUAUUGGACCCACCUGAGUCAGCCAGGAUACCCUCCCCAUUUUAAGGUCUGCAGCCUUAAUUCUACCUGCAAAGUCCCUUUUGCCAUGUAAUGUGCCAUAUUCACGGGUGUCAGGGAUCAGAGGGCGGGUAUAUUGGGGGACCAUUAUUCUGCCAACUACACAGGGCCUUAUAUGGUCUUGCUCUGUGUCCCCACUCAAGUCUCAUCUUGAAUUGUAAUCCGAAUUCUAACCCACAUGUGUUGGGGGGAGGGACCUUGUGGGAGGUAAUUAAAUCAUGGGGGCGGUUACCCUCAUGCUGUUCUUGUGAUAAGUGAGUGAGUUCUCACAAGAUCUGAAGGUUUUGCAAGGAGCUUUUCCCCCUUUUGCUCAGGACUCUCCUUCCUGCAGCCAAGUGAAGGACAAGUUUGCUUCCCCUUCCACAAUGAUUGUAAGUUUCUUGAGGCCUCCCCAGAACUGUGAGUCAAUUAAACCUCUUUUCUUUAUAAA